AAGAAGGUGACAGAGUGGUUAUGUGAGUGGCUUGAAACCACUACACGGGGGUUCAAUUCCCUCCUUUCUCG
rnacentral:tRNA from 1 species